rnacentral:rRNA from 1 species
AGAGUUUGAUCCUGGCUCAGAUUGAACGCUGGCGGCAUGCCUUACACAUGCAAGUCGAACGGCAGCAUGGAGAGCUUGCUCUCUGAUGGCGAGUGGCGAACGGGUGAGUAAUACAUCGGAACGUGUCCGUUUGUGGGGGACAACCGUCCGAAAGGAUGGCUAAUACCGCAUAAGACCUGAGGGUGAAAGCCGGGGACCGCAAGGCCCGGCGCAGACGGAGCGGCCGAUGAUUGAUUAGCUAGUUGGGGAGGUAAAGGCUCACCAAGGCGACGAUCAAUAGCUGGUCUGAGAGGACGACCAGCCACACUGGAACUGAGACACGGUCCAGACUCCUACGGGAGGCAGCAGUGGGGAAUUUUGGACAAUGGGGGCAACCCUGAUCCAGCCAUGCCGCGUGCGGGAAGAAGGCCUUCGGGUUGUAAACCGCUUUUGUCAGGGACGAAAAGCUCCGGAGUAAUAUGCCGGAGUGCUGACGGUACCUGAAGAAUAAGCACCGGCUAACUACGUGCCAGCAGCCGCGGUAAUACGUAGGGUGCAAGCGUUAAUCGGAAUUACUGGGCGUAAAGCGUGCGCAGGCGGUUGGGUAAGACAGAUGUGAAAUCCCCGGGCUUAACCUGGGAACUGCAUUUGUGACUGUCCGACUGGAGUACGUCAGAGGGGGGUGGAAUUCCACGUGUAGCAGUGAAAUGCGUAGAUAUGUGGAAGAACACCGAUGGCGAAGGCAGCCCCCUGGGACGCAACUGACGCUCAUGCACGAAAGCGUGGGGAGCAAACAGGAUUAGAUACCCUGGUAGUCCACGCCCUAAACGAUGUCUGCUGGUUGUUGGGAAUUUAAUUCUCAGUAACGAAGCCAACGCGUGAAGCAGACCGCCUGGGGAGUACGGUCGCAAGAUUAAAACUCAAAGGAAUUGACGGGGACCCGCACAAGCGGUGGAGCAUGUGGUUUAAUU